UUGUACACACCGCCCGUCGCUACUACCGAUUGAAUGGCUCAGUGAGGCUUUCGGACUGAUCUAAGGGAGGAGGCAACUCUUCCCCCUGGUCGGAAAGUUAUCCAAACUCGGUCAUUUAGAGGAAGUAAAAGUCGUAACAAGGUCUCCGUUGGUGAACCAGCGGAGGGAUCAUUACUGAGUUUACGCUCUACAACCCUUUGUGAACAUACCUAUAACUGUUGCUUCGGCGGGUAGGGUCUCCGCGACCCUCCCGGCCUCCCGCCUCCGGGCGGGUCGGCGCCCGCCGGAGGAUAACCAAACUCUGAUUUAACGACGUUUCUUCUGAGUGGUACAAGCAAAUAAUCAAAACUUUUAACAACGGAUCUCUUGGUUCUGGCAUCGAUGAAGAACGCAGCGAAAUGCGAUAAGUAAUGUGAAUUGCAGAAUUCAGUGAAUCAUCGAAUCUUUGAACGCACAUUGCGCCCGCCAGCAUUCUGGCGGGCAUGCCUGUUCGAGCGUCAUUUCAACCCUCAAGCUCUGCUUGGUGUUGGGGCCCUACAGCUGAUGUAGGCCCUCAAAGGUAGUGGCGGACCCUCCCGGAGCCUCCUUUGCGUAGUAACUUUACGUCUCGCACUGGGAUCCGGAGGGACUCUUGCCGUAAAACCCCCAA
rnacentral:rRNA from 1 species